AGAGUUUGAUCAUGGCUCAGGAUGAACGCUGGCGGCGUGCUUAACACAUGCAAGUCGGACGAACCUUCGGGUUAGUGGCGGACGGGUGAGUAACGCGUGAGAAUCUGCCCUCAGGAGGGGGAUAACGGUUGGAAACGACCGCUAAUACCCCAUAUGCCUAUUGGUGAAAUGAAUUUCGCCUGAGGAUGAGCUCGCGUCUGAUUAGCUAGUUGGUGUGGUAAUGGCUCACCAAGGCUUCGAUCAGUAGCUGGUCUGAGAGGAUGAUCAGCCACACUGGGACUGAGACACGGCCCAGACUCCUACGGGAGGCAGCAGUGGGGAAUUUUCCGCAAUGGGCGAAAGCCUGACGGAGCAACGCCGCGUGAGGGACGAAGGCCUCUGGGCUGUAAACCUCUUUUCUCAAGGAAGAAGAUAUGACGGUACUUGAGGAAUAAGCCACGGCUAAUUCCGUGCCAGCAGCCGCGGUAAUACGGGAGUGGCAAGCGUUAUCCGGAAUUAUUGGGCGUAAAGCGUCCGCAGGCGGCUUUUCAAGUCUGCUGUUAAAACGUGGAGCUUAACUCCAUCAUGGCAGUGGAAACUGAAAGGCUUGAGUAUGGUAGGGGCAGAGGGAAUUCCCGGUGUAGCGGUGAAAUGCGUAGAUAUCGGGAAGAACACCAGUGGCGAAGGCGCUCUGCUGGGCCAUUACUGACGCUCAUGGACGAAAGCCAGGGGAGCGAAAGGGAUUA
rnacentral:rRNA from 1 species